UACGGGGGGGGGUAAGCGUUGUUUCGGAAUUACUGGGCGUAAAGGGCUCGUAGGCGGCCAACUAAGUCAUACGUGAAAUCCCUCAGCUUAACUGGGGAACUGCGUGUGAUACUGGAUGGCUUGGAUUUGGGAGAGGGAUGCGGAAUUCCAGGUGUAGCGGUGAAAUGCGUAGAUAUCAGGAGGAACACCGAUUGCGAAGGCAGCUCGCUGGGACGUAACUGACGCUGAGACGCGAAAGCGUGGGGAGCAAACAGG
rnacentral:rRNA from 1 species